AGGCAUAUCCAUGAUUAUUUGAUUUAAGCAGUGUUUUCUGCCUUUUGCCUGUCACUAGUUAAAGUGGGAUGUCACGCGCUGCCCGAGUCUCGUUAAUUUGGAAUAUUUAGUUUCAAUGAGGAGUUGCACACUGGUGCAUGGGAAGCUCCACGUAGUGCAAGUUUUGAAAGACCACAGUUAAACAUCCUUCCUCGUAUGCAUUUGUCUAGGAGGAUAUUGCUGGCCAUAAAAUGAAUAAUUGCAUUGCAUCCACCAUUGAGGUAAUCUGUGAGACAAUUAAAACCAAUUGCGGAAGCAAUGGAUACACAUUGCACGGUAGCAAUCAGACGAAACUUUUUGAUGCAUGGCCACAUUCGUCUCGACUCUUCCAUAUCAUUAUGGUUCGCCAUCUCAGCCGAGUCCACGAUGGCUCGGCCGAAACAUAACUGAAACAGGGACCAGUACGAUAUCGAUUCCUGAAUCGCAGAUUUAGCUAUAUUCGAGAUGACUCAUAAUAACUUAGCCGAUAUCGGAUGAGUUGUACCGAUUUUGGUGUGUAUCGUUGAGAAAUCAGCAAGUCGGACUGAGUUGCAUCGGAAAUGGAACCAAAAAAGUUUUUGGCUGUAGAGGGACAAAAGCUGCAGCUAACAGGGAGAUGAAGUAAUGAGAGGAGUAGUUAUAUUGUGAGAGUUAAUGUGGGUGUGUGUGAGAGAGAGUAAAAAAAGAAUAAAAAGGGAAGAGACCACCAGCCUUUGUGGUGGUUGGUGGUGGUUAUGGAGGAAACAAAUAGAAGCAACAGCAAUGGUAGUAGUAUGAGGAGUGACGUUGAGGAAGAAGAAAAGAAAAGAAAAAAAGUUAUAAGUUGCUCCUUAAUUUUUUAAAAUUAUGAAUCUGCCCCAAAAGUUCCUUAAACUAUAUUACAACAUAGGUAUAUUUUUUAUGAUCACUUUUGCCCACUAUCAAUUUCAUCCUUACUAACUAGAUUCAUUUUAAGCUCUACAUUUGGUGUUUUAUUUAAUACUAAUUUGUUAAUGAAAAUUGGGGCACAAAGUACUUUUACUACUAUAAUUAUUACUUUUAAUGCUACAAGGCCAUGGCUACAGUAGCAUCACUUUAUCUCAAUAUUAGUCUGUACAUAUAUGAUAAUAUGAUAUUCAUCAAAUCUAAUUAGAUAAUUGUGCUUGCUAUGUUAUUUUCUAUUUUUAGUAAUUUUGUCAGAAUUUUUUAAAACUUUUAUAUGCUAUAAUGUGCAUAUCAUAUAACCAAUAUACCGUAAUGAAUGUGGAAUAACCGCGACCACGCCGCAAUCGCGACCCGCGAUGGCAAACCAUGAUAUCAAGAUUGAUAAAUCAAGUACCUUUUUGAAGCUGGUUGUUGUCAAUGUUAUCAAAGGCAUGAUUCUCUUCCAUUGCAUCAUCCACUUCUACCAGGUGUUGAUGAAGUUGCUGCAAUGACAGUAAUAUAGUGGCUGAGAUGAAAAAACUACAGUUAAGGAAAAGAACAACAGACCAUAAGGCGUAGUUGUUUUCUAAUAUUCUUGGUCUCCCAUUUGUGUAACUUGAUAAUUCCUUGAUCUAGUCUGCCUGUGAUACUCCAUCACCAAAUCGGCAAGGUAUUGGCUGUGUUACUACAAUACAUUAUCAUCUCGAACUCACAAGGCCAAGUAACGCAUCUUUCACCCUUUAUUUUCCUUCUCUAUAGUUUUCAAAAAAUGAGGAGCCUUCAAAAUAUAGUCAGUAUCACAAUAAACACACCAAAAAAUCCAAUAUGAGAUUGCAACAAAAGCUCACAAUAGUAUCAAUCUAUACACCUAAGCACCGUCGAUUGCAUGGUUGGUCAUCAGUGUAGAUCACUGGUUUUAUUACCAAACUGUUCUCAGUUUCCUAUUUGUUUCUAACAUAUUACUGCCCACUAUCUUGGCAAAUUUUAGCAAAAUAAAAAUGAUUUAUAUGUAAGUAUAUGGAAAAGAUUCAGAUAACUUGGAAGCACAAAGAGAGUCUGGAGUGGUUGUAAACUAACUUCAUUUGAAGGCAGGCUCCACCUUUUGCCGUAGGAAUUUCAGCAGCCAUUGAAUUUCAAAACUCAAAGGUUCACAUGUUAAGCUAAUUGUUUCAAUUUUUUGCACCAAGAUCCAUCUUCAACAUUCAACUUUAUUAAAUCACACACGAACAUGGCAGGUACUUUUAUCCGAAUUUCUAAAGCAAACGCAGAAAACCAAAGCAGCUCUAGUCACAUACAACCUCUACUCUAAGCAAAAACGUGAGAUUGAAAAAUGAACAAAACUGGGGAAAAAAUCUGAAGAAAUCACAUUUUGCACAGUGAAACGUAAACCGAUAAGAAUGCACACCCUUAGCAAUAUUAGCAUGAAAAUAACCUUCAAAACUUCGAAACUGUAAGUUGUUUAAACAUGUCUCGAGAACCCCAAUUUCCUACCCACCAUAAAAUUUCCAAGAAAAAAAAAUCUCAAUUUCCUCAAGCAUGAAGUGGCGUUUAAUUCUAAGACCGCGCAUGGCAAGCAGGACAAGAACUUACGACGCAUGAACUCUAACAGCCAUUCUAUUGUUACUUCCAAAAUCAGGACUGUAAUAUGUAUAUCUGCAUUCCAUACCCCCAAGCUUGCAAAAAAUUUACUCUCACAUGCAAAACAAAUACCACCAUCAAUCAAAAGGAAUGGUUAACAAGACAAAUUGUUCUGUGAGGCAGAACAAAGCAAUAUAGUACAUAUUCCAACAAGAACCCAAAAUGCUCAUUAAAAAAUCAAUUUGGUUCUUAACUGAAAAUGGUCAUUACUCCCACAUGCAAAACAGAUAUCAUCAAUCAAAAGGAAUGAUUAACAAGACGAAUUGGUCUGUGAGGCAGAACAAAGCAAUAGAGUACAUAUUCCACCAAGAACUGAAAAUGGUCAUUAAAAAAUCAAAUUGAUUCUUAGCAGGGUAACAAAAGUUUAAUUAAUAUGUAAAGUUUACCUGAGCAGCUUUUGGUGCAUUUCUAGGCAUUCACAGGUAGUAUGGAACUGAGAUGAAAAUGAAGCUUGUAGACCUCAUGCAUUAGUAGUUUUUUGCCUCAUUUCCCUUGCACUUCAGUUAUCUAGUUAUCUGAUACACAUUAGACAAGACCAACAUCGAAAACACUGGAUUAAUACAAAUUAAAACAAAAAAAAAGUCAUAAUAAAAUUUCGCGAAGUAGAGUAAUUAGUUGAAAUUUACAAGUCCAAUUGAAACAGCAAGCGGCGAGUCGCUCUUCUGGACAUGGACUCUACGGUGGCCACGCCUCACGUAGAGCGUGUGGGUCUUAUUUCUUCUCUUACCAAAGCUCGCUUUUCGCUUAUCCCUUGCUGGUUAUUGUUAAAUUCAUGAGUAAAAAAUUAUGUUUUACGUUAAUUUAAGAGAGAAGAAAGAGUAGUUAAUAUGUAAGGGUUUGAGAUUUAAUAAUUUAAGUUUUUGAGUCAAAGUUGGAUUUUUGACUUAUAUAUUGAGCUAUUUGAUGGAUUCUCUCGAGGCGUUUCUCCCUAAUAAGUGGUAUCAGAUUUCAAGUUGUGACUCUGGGCUAUUUAAGGAGUUUGGUUGGUGUUGAACCAGUUGUGCUAUGGGUUUGGCAGGGGAUUCGGUUGGUGUUAGACCAAGAAGCUAAGGGUUGGCAAGAGUUCAGAAUCCAGUUUGGAUGUUAAACAAGCUAUUCAUGGGCAAGUGAAUUAAGCUUGUAUACUAGGAUUUAACGUGAGGUUUAAUGUGAGAGGUUAUUCAUGAAGGGAGAAAUCUGUUAGAUUCAUGAGUAAAGAAUUAUACAUCACAUUAAUCCGAGAGAUGCAAGGGGAGAUCUAUUAAAUUCAUGAGUAAAGGAUUAUACCGUAUAUUAAUUCGAGAGAUAGAGAACACUUCAUAUGUAAGUAAGGAUCUAAAAUAUGAUAGUUUAAUCUUUUUUAUCAAAGUUGGGUUCGUAACUUACCUAUGACCUGAAACCUAAUAACUUAACUUAUUGGAUCAAAAUUGAGUUCUUGAUUUACAUAUUAAAUUCUUUGAUAGGCUCUCUGAAGGCGUCUGUCCCUAAUAAUUAUGAUAUGCAGGAUCCCAGGAGCAUACUCUGGUUUUCUAAGAAGAAAUAUAGAUAGCACAUACCUGAGGUUGAAGGAUUUCUAAAGUGGUUGAGAUUGAGAAGAUGAGAAUCAAAAAGAGGUUGAGGAGGAGGCAGCGGUGUUAGUAGAUUCAUUCAGUAGAGAGAGAGAAAUGUGAGUUGCAGCGGCAGAGAACCUCCAUAAGCCCCUCUGGCGGUCGAUCGGUGCGGUGGAAAGGGGUGAGGUGAGAGGAGAGAGGAGUAAAAGGACGCAAAAUUCAACCCUGUUAAUAAGUAAAAAUACACAGGAACGGUAUAAUAGGCAUGUAAGGGUACUACGGGUAUCCAUGUGCAACAUUUUUGAGCAUAGCACACAAUUUCUUCAACACAAUAAAUAAAUGUGAAAUUACAGGGAAUAGACAACUACUGAAGGUGUGCACAGGGACCAGAUUUACUCUUCAUAACUCCAACUCCAACGCCCCUUUUUCCUUUUGUUGGGAAUUGGGAUAUGCAGCAAUCAAAGAAGGAUCUCUUGCUGAAGAUGAUUAAUUCCGAUUUACUUUUAUUUGUUUCAGUAAAAAGUCUAGAAUAUGUCUAAAAACUACAGAUGUAGAAACAUCUGGAGACCAUAUACAGUGGCUAAUGCAUAUCAUUACUUUGUUUGGCUGUCCCGUUUUACCGAUCCAUGCAAAUAAGUCAAAUUGCUUAUGUCAUUUCCAUGCCACAUUGCAACAUUGCAAGCUGUGUGUCAUGAUUUCUGUUUAUGUGGCGUUUGAGGCUAAAUUUUGGGCCAAAAUGAUGAAAUGUGCAUAUAUAUCAACUUCCCAAGUUAAAAUCAGGAUAUCUCUUUCUAAGUCCUAAACAACAAAUUUAUGCUGCUGCAUUCAACAUUUCAGUGUGAGAACCAGGAUGUCUUCGGCAAAGCUCAUGUUCCUGCUAGCAUUGUCGGUGUUCGUGCAAAUAUUAUGCGCUGAAAAAACACAAGAUACUUACAGUGAUGGCUUAGCUCCACCAAAUGCAUGUGCAAAUUGUACCCUCUGCCAGUAUCCCUGCAACGCUCAACCUCCUCCUCCAUCAGGGUACGAAUCGUAUGGUGCUCCACCACCUCCUCUUCCUCCUGCUCAGGUCAAUUGCCCACCAUCAGCUCCUGUGCAGUGCUGCCAAUAUUCGCCUCCAGCGCCUUUCUCUUAUUAUCCAUAUAACAAUUAUACUGGUUCAUCAUGCUUGCCGAUCAAGCCCUCUACUUCAACAUGGUUUUCAGCUAUUUUCUUCUUCUCAAUAAUCAUGCUGGAUUUUGAAGUUUGAAGGUUCGUCGUGGCUAGGAAAGUCUAAAGGUCAAUAUUUUCUUCCACUGUAAAGAAAGAAGGAAAAAAGAAUGUUGAUGUUCCGUAGAAUAAUAUCUAGAUUUUGAACUGCAUUUGGCUGGUUUGAUGUAAGAUCAUUUCCUUUGAAAUUGUUCUGCACCUCUUGCCUUUAUUGGCUAAUCUGUAUCAGAAUUUGCAACUUGUAAUGAUAUUGUUGAUUACUUGCCUUGUGGAUAGAUUCUUCUGUUUUUAUACACGCAUCUAAGUCAUCUCGAAGAAUGAACAUAAAAGGAAGUCCACAAGAGUGCUUUCAAUCAAUUUAAGUAAGCUGAAUCUGCAUACUAGCUCCAUAAAAAAGAUUUUUACAUUCUUGUUUGAUUUCAUUCCUUGAUUUCACAGAUCUUAAAUGCAAAUCCAUAGAUCUGCACUAUAAUUGUUCUAGCCCGUAUGACCUCAAUUUGUGAAGUAGCAGAGGCAGCCAGGAAAAGAAUGAAUGGCUUGAUUGAGAACAACAGAAACUGAUGGGUAUUUUGAAAGUUUUAAAAAAGAAAUGGUGUCAUGUAGAGCUUAUGGAUUGCUGUAAGGGAUAAUUUUAGAAACCUCAGGUUUCUAACAAUAUCAUCUGGCACCUUUAAAGUUUCAAAAAUUUUACUUAAACUUUCUUAUUUUUAAAAUUUUGUAACAUUUUAAACCCAAUUCAUUAUGUACUAUUAAAAUAUUCAUUUUAAAAAAGAGAACAGUUUCUUUCCAAAAUUGCCCUUUGAUUUCCUAACCAUUACAAAAUAAAAGGUAUAUUAAUCAAAAGUUAAAAACAAAGAUAAAAGUAUGAAAAAAAAGGUAUGAAGAUGUAAAUACAAAAAAAUAUUUAUUUAAAAUGUUUUUAAACUAGAAAAAUAAUUUUUUUGUUUUUUUUAUGCAUAUCGAUGGCUUGUAAAUUACAAAAAGUAAAGUGCUUAAAAUUAAAUUUAUAAAUUAUUUGAGAUGGGUUAAAAAAUUAAUUUGAACUGCUCGUAAGAUGCAGAAAAAAGUUAUCACAUAUAUAGUAUUAUGGAUGAAUUUUAUGUGUUUUGUAAAUUAUUCAUAAGUUGUAAAAUUUUAACAUUCUUUGUUCAAAUUAUAAAAUAAAUUUUCUUAAAGGAUCUCCAAAUUUAAUAAAAAUUUAUAAUUUUCCAUUAAAGAAGCAAAUUGGUAAAUUUUCAAAUGCAAAGAGAUUUCAAAUUAGUCAGUCAUAACAAUUAAGGGAACACAAAAAAAGGACAACUUUGGAAUGAAAUUAUCGAUAGAUUCUAUACACUCCAAAUAUGAGUUUUUUAGUAUUACAUUUUGAAUUGGGUUGAUAAUGUUAUAAAAGUUUAAAAAUAAAGGAGGCAAAUGAUAUUUUUGAAGCUUCAAAAGUGCUAGGUGAUAUUGCUAGAAACUUGAAGGGAGGUUUCUAAAAUUAUCCACCUUGUUGUAAAUCUGUCUAUUUAGCUUUUAGCCAGUAAAUUUGGUACUUUGAAAAGCUGUAUUACCUAUAAUCUUCCUCUCCAUCUGUCAAUAUAUAUAUAUAUAUAUAUAUAAACUUCCUCUCCAUAUUUAGUCACCAUUCAAGAAAAAUACUUGUGAAGCAAAUUAUUAAAGUCAUCCAUUUCUUUUCUUUCACCACAAACUUUUUUUUUUUUUAUUUUCCUGACCAACAGGCAAUAAUCCCCGUUGGUUGUAAUUUCUACACAGAUCCCCCAUAUGCUUUGGAGUAAAGUGAUAAUGAAGUGGAAAUCCCAUCCAAAACUGUUUUCAUCAAGUGACCUGCAUGCCCAAAUGGAAUGAUAUGUAAGUAAUCGCAUUAGCCCUUAUGUAAUUGUAUGGUUGACUUUUGAGAUGCAUAGUGCAGAGGGAACUUUUUGGAGGAUGACAACUAUUGAAAUGUUUGCGUUUAAACGCAUUUAAAAAUGAAAUUCGAGUGAUUUCGAAUUUGUCGAUUCACGCACUCUAAAUUUUUUUCUUUUUAUAAAUCGUAACAUUGAGAUAAUAAAGUUCCUUUCCAACAAGCGCGACAAUGAAAACACAAAAACACUUUAAUUAUUAUUAUAUUAAUCUUAGAUUAAUAAUUAUGCAAACAACUCAAAGCAAUAACGAGCCGCCAACAUCAUCUCAAUCAUCCAAAAUUUUCAUCAAUAUUUUGAGACCCUCUGGAUACACUCUUCUUGGUUUGAGUUUUGCUUAACCUAUUGGGUAUUUCAUUUAAUCAAGUGCCCAGAACAAACUAAAAAUGGAUGCCUGUGAUAUAUAUACAUAUAUAUAUAUAUAUAUAUAUAUAUAUAUAUAUAUAUAUAUAUAUUGUGACAGCCCUACCUUCCCAUAAGGCGUACUAAAGAGAUUAGCGGACUGCCUGUCUAACUUUCGUCAGGAACUAAGACGGUUAUACACAACUCAAAAUGUGCCGGAAUACAGUAGCGCGCGUAAACAAAGCAAAAAUCAUGAAACAAAAAAAAAAUGAAAAUCGAGAUGGAAAGUGAAUAGCGCCUACCACGUCACCAUCUGACCGGGACCCAAUCGAAUACAAGUAACUUCAUAUAAUCCUUGAAAUGGACAUAUACAAACCAAACAUAACACAUGAACAUGAGUACACGCUUUUAUAAACCACAUUCGUAUUUUACAAAUCAAAAGGGAACAUUUGAAUCCAAGUACAAUUAGGGUUUCCAACUAUUGAGGAGCUAUACAAAAUAUCUAAACUAGCUCAACUCAUGCUUCAAAAUCACAAUUCCAAAAGUGGUUCCCUGUAAGGAAAAUAAGGAUAACGGAACGGGGUGAGUUCUAAGCUCAAUGAGGUACCAAAAGUAUAAUAGUGGAAAUCAUGAGAAAACACUUUUAGGGCACAUAUAUACAUCAAGUAAGAGAAAUAGACGAACACCACAAUUUAAAGGAUACAGGUGGCCCUCAGGAGCCAAAUCUCCGUUGCAAUACUUGAUCCAGCCUCGUUGACUUUCCGUCAACGUUUAAUAACACACUCAUGUCUGUAAACCCCUCUUAUGCCAAAAUCCCGUUCACCAAACAUACCCCUUACUGGGCUCGAACGCCGAACAGGAACAGUAAUGGUAAUAUUCGAGUAUACCGGAAUCAAGAGUCUCAAUACCCAAAGAUUCCCCAGGAACAGGUACCCAUGGAUUGUCAAUUACCUCGACCAAGCCCUUGCUGGUUCGAUUUAAUUAACUCCCCAUGAGGUUGAGCUCAAGUUUAACAGGAAGAUCGUUGGAACCACUUCCAAACGAUCUCAUAACAAGCGCAAGUAACAAGUUCAAGUACAUAACAAAUACAAGUAAUAGAUUCUAGUUCAUUCAGUACAGGCAAGAGAACGAGUGUGAUAAAGUACACCCUCGUCUCAUUCGGAAUAACAGAGUUCAUAGUUAUCCAUGUCACAUAUUUCAAGUAUAGAUGAACCAAUUAAACAACAAUUCAAGGGAGUGUUACACUCACCUAUUAAGGCGAAAUAACGUCCAGAAUAUCUUUCCGGGUAACACUCUCAAUCACCGAUGAACCCUUUACAACUCAAGAAAGAUGGCAACUUAGCACCUCCACUUCUAAAACCACUCCACCACCU
rnacentral:lncRNA from 1 species